ensembl:snRNA U1 U1 spliceosomal RNA
AUACUUACCUGGCAGGGGAGAUAGCAUGAUCACGAAGGUGGUUUCCCCAGGGCGAGGCUUAUCCUUUGCACUCUGGAUGUGCUGACCCCUGCGAUUUCCCCACAGGUGGGAAACUUGACUGCAUAAUUUGUGGGAGUGGGAGACUGCAUUCACGCUUUCCCCUG